GACGAACGCUGGCGGCGUGCUUAACACAUGCAAGUCGAACGGAAAGGCCCUGCUUUUGUGGGGUGCUCGAGUGGCGAACGGGUGAGUAACACGUGAGUAACCUGCCCUUGACUUUGGGAUAACUUCAGGAAACUGGGGCUCAUACCGGAUAGGAGCUCCUGCUGCAUGGUGGGGGUUGGAAAGUUUCGGCGGUUGGGGAUGGACUCGCGGCUUAUCAGCUUGUUGGUGGGGUAGUGGCUUACCAAGGCUUUGACGGGUAGCCGGCCUGAGAGGGUGACCGGCCACAUUGGGACUGAGAUACGGCCCAGACUCCUACGGGAGGCAGCGGUGGGGAAUAUUGCACAAUGGGCGGAAGCCUGAUGCAGCAACGCCGCGUGCGGGAUGACGGCCUUCGGGUUGUAAACCGCUUUCGCCUGUGACGAAGCGUGAGUGACGGUAAUGGGUAAAGAAGCACCGGCUAACUACGUG
rnacentral:rRNA from 1 species